CCCGCAAAUUUCGUUAACAAACACGACAAGAAACUCGGAACCCUAAUCUGUUCUGCGCGCGCGGACCGUCCGGCCCACAGGCGCGGACUGUCCGGACCGCGGAUCGUCCGGCUCCACGACCGGACCGUCCGCUGGCUCCUUCUGGUGCCCAACACCAAGUCCCUCUCGUCGCACUUGGAGACACGUGAGGUCCUCGACGUGGGAGCGGAUCGACAGGGUUGACGGAGAGGAUGAGGCCAAGUCAUCAUGCCCCUUAUGCACUGGGCGACACACGUGCUACAAUGGGCGGGACAAAGGGUCGCGAUCUCGCGAGGGUGAGCUAACUCCAAAAACCCGUCCUCAGUUCGGAUUGCAGGCUGCAACUCGCCCGCAUGAAGCAGGAAUCGCUAGUAAUCGCCGGUCAGCCAUACAGCGGUGAAUCCGUUCCCGGG
rfam:Zea mays cultivar B73 chromosome 1, whole genome shotgun sequence.